rnacentral:rRNA from 1 species
GACGAACGCUGGCGGCGUGCCUAAUACAUGCAAGUCGAACGCAGUGGGGACGGGUGAGUAACACGUGGGUAACCUCCCAUCAGAGGGGAUAACACUUGGAAACAGGUGCUAAACCGAUACUGAUGGAUGGACCCGCGGUGCAUUAGCGGGUUGGUGAGGUAACGGCUCACCAAGGCCACGAGGCAUAGCGCCCCUGAGGGCGUGUUCGGCCAACCUGGGACUGAGACACGGCCCAGACUCCUACGGGAGGCAGCAGUAGGGAAUCUUCGGCAAUGGACGAAAGUCUGACCGAGCAACGCCGCGUGAGUGAAGAAGGUUUUAGGAUCGUAAAGCUCUGUUGUUAGAGAAGCGGUAUCUAACCAGAAAGCCACGGCUAACUACGUGCCAGCAGCCGCGGUAAUUC